ensembl:lncRNA
AUUCUUCUCCAGAAGCCAGUUGUUCAAGGAUGCAUUUGUCAUGUUCUAGCACCUGGUGGGCUGCCGUCUAUGGGGUCGCACAGAGUCAGACACGACUGAAGUGACUUAGCAGCAGCAGCAGCUCUUCUUUUCUAGGCUCAAGAAUUUAAACCGACAAUACAACCCAAAGCAUUAUCAAUCUAAGGAGCAGACCACAAACUGUAAGGACCAUUUGAAUAUUAAUCUCAAGCAAUUUCCUUACCACUCCAUCUUGAUGAGCCAGUGCAUUCUUCAAUGGAGGCAGAUGGCAAAACAACAAAACCCAACUAACUACAAGCAAUUUAUGAUGACUAAAGAAUACAAUAUGAGUACACAGUUCUCUGAGGUUUAUGUUUGAUCCUACCCUAAAAUUUAAAACAUCAAGAGGAAUUCAAAAUGGUCAUGUAUGGAUGUGAGAGCUGGACUGUGAAGAAAACUGAGCGCUGAAGAAUUGAUACUUUUGAACUGUGCUGUUGGAGAAGACUCUUGAGAGUCCUUUGGACUGCAAGAAGAUCCAACCAGUCCAUUCUGAAUGGAUUUCUUUGGAAGGAAUGAUGCUAAAGCUGAAACUCCAGUACUUUGGCCACCUCAUGUAAACUGUUGACUCG